rnacentral:lncRNA from 1 species
UUGCUAAGCUUAAUUUAACAAGAUUGAAAGUAAAACUUGGAGAGAUAAGCUUUCUUACCUUGACUAGAGUUCACUAAGAGUAGCCCAAGCUUUCUCUUUUAAAAAUCACACCACAAGUCACUAACUAAUCACUCAAGGACAAGUUUAAUCGGUUUGUUUUGUUUGAUUUCUCACUUGGUUGAUCAAACUCAAGAUGAAAUGGUUGUUUUUCUUGUUUUUCUUGCUCUCCCUUUUCUCUCUUUCUCUCGGCUGUGAUGGUGCAGAAAUGAAGAGCUUUGGAGUUGGUUUUAGGGAUAAAUAUGAUGGAAAUUCAUUAGUCAACCAACCAAGGAAAGUCUACCACUUGUUGCUUCAAGAUUGGUUCUUAAUUUUUUUCUUUUUCCUUGUUGUUUUUGGUCAAAAAUUUCGGCUAGCUUGCUCAGCUUUAUAGCUGAUGUUUGGCUCUAAUAUUAAAGAGAUUAAGUAUAUAAAAAAUGAUGGUCAAGUGGUGCGUUCAAACGGUAGUGCGCGGGACCCGCCGGUUCGCGCCGUUUUCUUAAAAACUCACGUACUAGGGUUUUUACUUCCCAUUCACUAACCUUAUAUCAUUGCCACUAGUCACAUAUUAUUUCUCACUUAAAAGUCACUUUUAAUCCCCAAAUUAAUUCUUACUCUGUACCGAAAAUUCAUUCGGCGGAAAAUUGCGAAAACCCUAAUUUCGCUCCAAACUUGAAACCGAAGCGUAAAACCCUAUUUUCUAGGUUUAUCUACACUUAAUGUGAAAUAUUUGGGUAGUGGCCUUUGAUAAAUACUAAUUUUCAAAUAAAAGGGUAUUUUUGAGGAAAAAUACAAGGAAUUUGCGAGUCCUCACAUUCUCUCCCCCUUAAAAAAUUUCGUCCUCGAAAUUUUACCUUCAAUUGCCUCAGACGAGUCCGGAACUUGUCGGUUGUCUAAAGCAUAAACCUUUGCCGGUCCGCUAGUUCGUUUCCCUCCUUCAUUCACUUGUGAUUUAGCUCCAUCCAGUUGCAGAGUAUUGCUUUCACGUGACUGUCUCCUCGGACAGUUGCUAACUUGAUGAUCGCCACUUCCGCAGAUUAAACAUUUCCGCCCCUUUCUCCAACAAUCGCUUUCAACAUGAUUUGCCUUUCCACAGUACCCACAGACCACGUGAGAAGCCAUCUUUUGGCUUUCUUGAAAACUUUUCCCAAAUCUGAUUUGGCUUUCUUUUGUAGAUCCUUCACCUAUCGCCCCUAAUGUCCAUGGUGGGUGGGACAAAAAGUUCACUUUUUGCACUUUGGAAGGGACUCUCGCUUCACUUAAUUCCUCCGCUACACUACUCGAUGCACUCCUUUUCUGGGUCUGGGAAGCUUUUAUCUGUGCCUUUGCAGUCUCGAUUCUUUGAGUUUUCUCAAGGGCCUCCGUAAAUGUAUUCACUUGUACUGCCGCUAAUGCUUCUUGGAGUUCCAAAUUUAAUCCCUGUAUAAACCGUCUUACUCUUCGCCGCUCUGUGGCCACCAAUUCAGAAGCAAACUUGGAUAGUUUCGUAAAUUUUGUUUCAUAUUCGGCCACACUUAGCGUUCCCUGGCGUAGUCCAAUAAACUCUUCCUCUCUCCUCUCUUGAACUAAAGGAGGGAGGUAUUUCUCGUUAAAUUCCCUUAUGAAAUUCGACCAUGUCCAUACGGUCUGUUCUCUUUCCCAUUUUGCUUUAAUAACGUUCCACCACGCUCGGGCCGAUCCUUCAAAUUGGAACACCGCAAAGUUUACUUGUCUUUGCUCGGUGUAGUUCAAGACGGUGAAAAUAUUAAUCAUGGCCUCUAACCAUUGUUCGGCUAUAUCCGGAUCAGAUCCUCCAAGGAAUUUCGGAGGAGUAAAUUUCUGAAACCGCUCAAGAGCCUUAUCUUCUCCGAUUUCAGGGUUCCGGGGUUGAUUCACGGCCAUUUGGCCUUGUUGAUCCACCAGUCUUGCCAAGAUAUCUGUCAUUUGUUGCAUUAUCGUUGCCAUUUGGUCUUCGGCUUCAACCCUCAUUCCUUGCUCUUGUGCAGCUGUUGCUUCUCUUUCCUCUCUUGGCUCUUGAGCUCGUUCAUUCCCACGGCCACGUCCACGUCCACGGCUACGUCUCCCGUCCAUAUAUAUGUUUUCCCUCUCUUUUCUUUUCCCCCAAAAGGUAAUUUAGUAAAUAAACACGAUAAGGUUACUAAAGUAACUAUUGAGGGCACCAAAUAUUCAAAUAAACAUAUACCCACAUAACACGCCAUACCAAAAAGACGGAUUAGCAAAUACACAAAUACAUAUCAAGUUGGACAGAUAACCAUGUACAUACAGGUAUACUAACGUCAUGUAGUAACAAUAUACAGGUAAAUCAAAAGGAAAAGGUGAAGUCGCCCCAGUAUCAGCCCGUCUGGUCUCUCACGUCAUUUACUAUCCAAACUAGACGUCCCUGACCUCUUGUGCUCAUUCUAGUCAGACAAAGCCUGUUCAUGUUCCCAAAAUACAAGUCUCAAGUAUUUAGCAGCACCUCAACUAUAGAGUACUCAGGCACGAGAAUCCGAAAGAAGAUAAUUCACAUCUCGAGCUGCAGUCUCAAGAGUAAACUAUCUACAAUCGGAAUUCCCACCUGACAUACCUAUCUAUGGUCUUCAGAUACCAUGAGAAAGAUUUAAGGCCUAUAACAUUCGCAAUUCAUAGCUUCACUUAGUCCCUCAUACUUUUUCACCACUUAGUCCAGGGUCACUCCACGUAGAAACCACGCGAAGCAGCUAUAAGUUUUAUCCCUCAAUCGCUUAACUUUCAAGUCCAAUCAAAUCCCACAGUCCGGUAUCCUAAUCUUUAAUCUAGGAUACACUACAGAGAUCUGAAGCCUAAGCUCUGAUACCACUUGUAACGACCCCACCUCCCCCUAAGGCGUACCAGAGGGUUCGGCGGGCCGCCUGCCCAGCUCUCGCCGGGACUCAGUCGUUCGCUACAGUUGCUCAUUAAAUUGAAAUGAAAAUCACUAGAAUAAAUAGGGCAUUGUUAUCCAAACUUAAAGAGCGGAACUUAUAUACAUUGCCACCCAAAAGAAUAUAAACAUCAAAUAUGACACACGGUCUCAAUCCUUCAUACGCCAGCCCGUGCCAAGCACUAGGCAGGGAACCACGUACAAAAGAAACAAAAGAAACAAAACUAGAUUGCUAGUCUAUCUCAACGUCACGUCCUCCGAGCUCGGCCUUCCCCUGUGAAGGAAACAAAAUCUAAAGGAAUAGCUAAAAGCCCAGGUCGAGGUUUCGAACACAUAAAUCAGAUAAUCAUCCAAUAUCAUUAAACAUGGAGUAUCAAUUAAUUCAAUGAAUACAUUUACAAUGGAAAAGCGAUAGUAAACACAUUCAUAAAAGGAUACGGCUUCACAAGCGAGCAAUUCGUAUUUCGUUCAAGAGUCGAUCUCGCUGAAUUACCCUUAUUCCUCCAAUCAUUUGAUAAAUGUCAUUUUUUCGUUUAUCAAAUAAACCCUCGUUCGUAUUCGUUCGUUCAUCAUUCAUUCAUUCACCCCGUCCUGGCCCGUUGGCCAGUCUCCACCAACCUACAGGGUAAUACUCGAAAUAUACCAAGACGUUCAGAGCAAGUCCCUAAUCGCCCGACCGAAUCCGCUUCUGGCUCGAGACGACCGGUAACAAGGGGCAAUGGCCAGUUCAGCCCAAAAGGCUUACAUUCAUGCGCAAGUAACAUUUCAAUCAUUAAAUCCUUGAAAAUUGCACAGUUAUUUAGGUCGAGUGCGAUAAAGUACACACUCGCCUAGGAAGCUCGUUUGGAAAUCAUUAAAAGCAGUUAACACAUUAGCAAAUGAUAACAACAAGCCAUAGAAUCAAAUAAGGAACACUCACCUAGAAAUGCAAAAUAUCGUGCAAAAUAUCCUUCCGGAUAUUACCCUUAAUCACCAAUGAAACCUAAGGUUGAACAAGAGAACAUUAUUAUAGUUUAUCGAGCAAAACAUUUAAGGGAAACAAAGAAACCCGACUAAUUAAGAGUAAAACGUGUAAAGAUGACUUUCAGGUAAGAAGAGGGUUGUUUGAACCCAAGGAUGAAAAAUCAUGUUUUAUAAUGGAAAACCGGUCAUGGUAUUGGCCAAACAAAAGUAUACAAGUUCAAUAGAAACCUAGCCCUCGAGCGAAAAUUUGGGCAGCACGCCCUUUGUGUUUACCUAAUUUUCCAGCCAUUUUGGCUUCAUUAUUUUUCCUCAACCACAACCCAACAUCACACAUAAGCAAUUCAAGUCAAGAGCCGUUCCAUAGGUUCGCAAUAUCAUAAGAAUAAGAAUUACAACAAUCACAAGUGCAGACAUUCAACUUAGCACAAGACAGAUUUGACGUACGAAUGCGGAAAUAACAUAUCCGAAGCUACGCUUAUCGGAUUGAGACGAAACCUCUGCCGUUUCGAAGCUAAGACACAGAGUUACAACAUUAAUGAAGGUCACUUAGUCCAGUUCCUAAUGUAACUUAGUCAAAUUCUCAAAUUACUAAACCAGAACCCAAUUCGUCGGCUGUUUAAACGCAGAACACUGUAAUGGACAUAACUAAGAGUACACAAGUCCGAAUCAGGUGUUCUUAAAGGCAUUUGAAAGCUAAUUCAGAAUGCUACAACUUUCAUGUUUUGGCAAAACACUAAAUCAGAAUGGAUCCUAGUCAAAAAACGGGAUAAACUGGACUUAACUGAUCACACGGACUGCUUAGGAAAUACUUAAAACAGUAAGGGUAUUUUGGACUUUUCACAUCCUACGUUGCUCCGAUUGAGCUGAAAUUUUGUAGACACCUAUAAAAUGCCAUUAUCUACAACUUUCCUUCUUUGACCUAAGGCCAAUUCGGCCUCUAGCAUAGGUAUUCAAAUUCGGACAGAAUGUUGGGAAAACAUUUCCAGAUUCUGGAAUUCCUAGUUUUUAGUGGAACUUUCCUUAAUUUCUUGGUCUAAUCACUACCAAAGCCUCUCUUAUAACCUUAAUUUCAACAUAUAUACUUCAUACAACAAAUUGGGCAGAAAUUCAUCAAGCCCUAGUUCAUCAUAUAAAUUGGGGAAAACUUCCAAAACAAGAUAAUAUCCUUGAUUCCACCACAAAAUCAAGUUGCUAAGCUUAAUUUAACAAGAUUGAAAGUAAAACUUGGAGAGAUAAGCUUUCUUACCUUGACUAGAGUUCACUAAGAGUAGCCCAAGCUUUCUCUUUCAAAAAUCACACCACAAGUCACUAACUAAUCACUCAAGGACAAGUUUAAUCGGUUUGUUUUGUUUGAUUUCUCACUUGGUUGAUCAAACUCAAGAUGAAAUGGUUGUUUUUCUUGUUUUUCUUGCUCUCCCUUUUCUCUCUUUCUCUCGGCUGUGAU